rnacentral:rRNA from 1 species
GACGAACGCUGGCGGCGUGCUUAACACAUGCAAGUCGAGCGGUAAGGCUCCUUCGGGAGUACACGAGCGGCGAACGGGUGAGUAACACGUGAGCAACCUGCCCUUCUCAUCGGAAUAAGCGUUGGAAACGACGUCUAAUGCCGAAUAUGACAACGGAUCGCAUGAUCUGUUGUGGAAAGCUCCGGCGGAGAAGGGUGGGCUCGCGGCCUAUCAGCUUGUGGGUGGGGUAACGGCCCACCAAGGCGACGACGGCUAGCCGGCCUGAGAGGGUGACCGGCCACACUGGGACUGAGACACGGCCCAGACUCCUACGGGAGGCAGCAGUGGGGAAUAUUGGACAAUGGGCGCAAGCCUGAUCCAGCAACGCCGCGUGAGGGAUGACGGCCUUCGGGUUGUAAACCUCUUUCAGCAGGGACGAAGCGAAAGUGACGGUACCUGCAGAAGAAGGACCGGCCAACUACGUGCCAGCCGCCGCAGUAAUAC